rnacentral:rRNA from 1 species
CCUACGGGUGGCUGCAGUGGGGAAUAUUGGACAAUGGGCGAAAGCCUGAUCCAGCCAUGCCGCGUGUGUGAAGAAGGCCUUCGGGUUGUAAAGCACUUUCAGUGGGGAAGAAAGCCUUGGGGCUAAUACCCUCGAGGAAGGACAUCACCCACAGAAGAAGCACCGGCUAACUCCGUGCCAGCAGCCGCGGUAAUACGGAGGGUGCGAGCGUUAAUCGGAAUUACUGGGCGUAAAGCGCGCGUAGGCGGUCUGAUAAGCCGGUUGUGAAAGCCCCGGGCUCAGCCUGGGAACGGCAUCCGGAACUGUCAGGCUAGAGUGCAGGAGAGGAAGGUAGAAUUCCCGGUGUAGCGGUGAAAUGCGUAGAGAUCGGGAGGAAUACCAGUGGCGAAGGCGGCCUUCUGGACUGACACUGACGCUGAGGUGCGAAAGCGUGGGUAGCAAACAGGAUUAGAUACCCCAGUAGUC